AACAGGAUUAGAUACCCUGGUAGUCCACGCCCUAAACGAUGAAUGUUAGUCGUCGGGUAGCUAGUCUAUUCGGUGAUGCAGCUAACGCAUUAAACAUUCCGCCUGGGGAGUACGGUCGCAAGAUUAAAACUCAAAGGAAUAGACGGGGACCCGCACAAGUGGUGGAGCAUGUGGUUUAAUUCGAAGAUACGCGAAGAACCUUACCUAGCCUUGACAUAUUUUAGAACACUUUAGAGAUAGAGUGGUGCCUUCGGGAGCUAAUAUACAGGUGCUGCACGGCUGUCGUCAGCUCGUGUCGUGAGAUGUUGGGUUAAGUCCCGCAACGAGCGCAACCCUCGUCACUAGUUACUAACGGUUCGGCCGAGGACUCUAGUGAGACUGCCUUCGCAAGGAGGAGGAAGGUGAGGACGACGUCAAGUCAUCAUGGCCCUUACGGCUAGGGCAACACACGUGCUACAAUGGCCAGGACAAUGAGAAGCGAUACCGCGAGGUGGAGCAAAUCUAUAAACCUGGUCUCAGUUCGGAUUGUAGUCUGCAACUCGACUACAUGAAGCUGGAAUCACUAGUAAUCGUAGAUCAGCUAUGCUACGGUGAAUACGUUCCCGGGUCUUGUACUCACCGCCCGUCACACCAUGGGAGUUGAUUUCACCCG
rnacentral:rRNA from 1 species